UUCAUUGCAGGAAGUGGAAGAAUGGUUGGAAAGUAGAAUGUCUGAAAAAAUUGAGUCCAAGAUGAUGGAGCUGGCGGGUUCUAUUCAAAAAUCUCUAAGUGAUUCACUCAAAUUGACAAUGGAAGAAUUGUUGAAGAAUAACUCUGAUGGCAUGGAAGAUUUUGGAAGAUCUAGAACUGCCCCUGUAGGUGAGAAACGUAAUCAUACAAAUUACUCUUGUGGCACUCGUUUGUCUAAAAUUGAUUUCCCUCGUUUCAAUGGCGAUAAUGUGAAGUAAUAAAUUUAUCAAUGUGAAACAUACUUUUUGAUUGAUGGCACACCAGAGGAGGUGAAAGUGAAGCUAGUUGUGGUUCAUUUUGAAGGAAGAGCUUUACAAUGAAAGUGUGCUUGUCAAGAGGAACAUUUUGGAAAGCUCUCUUUAUAUGUCAUGGUUUUGAUGAGGACAACCGGUGCUUAUAAGAGCUUGAAGAUCAUCAACAAAUCAAUGUGCUUAAGUCUUUAAUUGGUACUAGGCUUAGACUAGAAUCUAGUUUAAGUUGAGUCAAGGCUUAGGGCACCAAAUACAUGCCUCAUAUGCAUACAUCUUUUUAAAUCAUUUCAUCCUUGAGAUAUGUCAUUCAUAAUAUGUUCAUGCAUUACAUAAAUACAUGUAUAUGUGCAUUCUAGGCAUAAACUAAGUGUUAAACAUGUAUUAACUAAGUGCAUAACGUAUUUGAUGUUUUGUAUUUAAAAAUACACAUUUAAAUUGCUGUUAAUCGAUUAACCAAUCCUUUAAUCGAUUAACCCAACUACUUUGUAAAGUGGUUGCUACUGGAACACGUUUUUAAAAUGCUGUUAAUCGAUUAAGGCAUUACGUUAAUCGAUUAACCUAACUGUUUGUUAAGUUGUUGUAACUGAAAACUUGAAAAACAGAAUCAGUUAACAUUUUGAAUCACGUUAAUCGAUUAAGAUGGCAGUUAAUCGAUUAUCUGGACUUCUGGACUGAUUCUUUAUAAACUGCGUUUUCAAAAUUAAUCUCAUAAGUUGCAUGUUGCAUUUAUUAGAGAGUUAGAGCAUUCUGCGUGUUAAUUGUUGCAUCUAUUUGUUAAAUGCAUUUGUGAGUUUAGAAAUGAGAGAUUCUAUGCUUUAGGAUUGAGUGCAUUUCAUGUUAUAAUCUCUCAUGUUUUCCCUCACAUGUUCAUGCAUAUUUUGAUGCUUUUUCAUGAAGUUUUAUGAUUCUGUAACUUCUGUUUUCAUAACUAAUACUUGUCAUUUCACAUGAAUUUGUAUUAGAUGUGCAUUAGAGUAAAGCCUUCUUGUUAUAUUUGAGCUUAGAAAUAGCUUUAUUUUACUCUUGUAAUUGUUGUGUAAUUGUUGUAAAGGGAAUCUCGUGGUGUCUUAUCAACGUUAGAGAUUGAGUGUUUCUUCAUUGCUUAGAGUGUAAGAAAAGGAAAGAACGAGAGAUUCUUUGGCUGGGGCUACGCCGAAAGAAACGUUUUCUUUGUCGGUAGGAAGGGAGUCAAACCAUUGAAUGGUUUCUUUGUUUUCUUGUAAUUUGCUAAGUGUUGUAAUUGAAUAAUGUGUAUGUAAUUACAUUGAUUCGGUUAUAGUGAAGGCUGUUAUUCGUUCCAUUAUCAGUUAAUUGUUGUGCAAUUAAUCGUUUAUGUAAUAGCUUACUGUUUUCUAUUUAAUCGAUUAAAACUGUUGCGUUAAUCGAUUAUCCUUGUUCUGUUAAUCGAUUAAGUGUGUUCUGUUAAUCGAUUAUCUUCAUCCUAUAAUCGAUUAAUUAGGGGUGAUUCAGCAUUAAGUGUUGAGUUUCGAAAAGCGGCUAUUCUAACCGCGACACCUAUUCAACCCUCCCCCUUCUAGGUGUAUUGUAACCACUGAUACCUAACAAGUGGUAUCAGAGCUAGUACGAAGUGCUAGCUCAACCGCGUAUUCGUGAUCCUAAAGGGAAAAGGAAUGGGUUCUUCAAAUCCAUUUGGUGGUGAUGGGUCAUCCAUUAAUCGACCACCAAUAUUCAGUGGUGAAGGGUAUGCCUACUGGAAAGUGCGCAUGCAAAUUUUUAUUGAGGCCAUAGACUCGGAUAUUUGGGAAUCCGUAGUCAACGGCCCUUACGUUCCACAACAUCUUGUGGACGAUCAACCUAAAGAUAAACCGAAAAGUUUAUGGACCGAUGAUGAGCGCAAAAAGGUCCAGCAUAACCUGCGCGCCAAAAACAUCAUCACAUCGGCCCUAUCAUAUGAUGAAUUCUUUAGGGUCUCGCAGUGCCAUAAUGCGAAAGAAAUGUGGGACACUUUACAAGUGACUCACGAAGGCACUAGCGAAGUCAAGCGCGCAAGACUGAACGCGCUGACCCACGAAUAUGAGUUGUUUCGCAUGUUACCAAGCGAAUCAAUAUGUGAUAUGCAAAAGCGAUUCACUCAUAUUGUCAACCAUUUAGUUGCUCUCGAUAAAUCAUUUGCUAGAGGUGAACUAACUAAUAAAGUUUUGCGUUGUCUUGACAGGAGAUGGCAACCAAAGGUGACUGCAAUUGUUGAGUCUAAAGA
rnacentral:lncRNA from 1 species